rnacentral:lncRNA from 1 species
CUGGAACUUGAAGGUAUCCACAGAAAGGGUACCUGGAAAAUAAGAUGAAUAUGAAAUGGGGAGAGCAAGAAGGAGCUGAAAUGCAUCAGCUGGAGCCCGGGAGAACAGAUAGAAACUCAGACUCUUUCUUGUGUUCUCUCUGCCCUUGAUGGUCUGCAUGUCCUGGAGAAGCCAGGUCUUUCAUCACACACAGCUGGCCCAGCAGUCAGAGAAGCUGAAGGAGGAUUGGGGGGAAGGUGGAGCAGCAGGAGGCCUGGCUGUUCCUCACACCAAGGAGGUGCAUCCGCAGAUGAGGAGUGAAUGCCAAGGGCAUGUGAAUGCCUUGAAGUGGCUAUUUCUUGGAAGCAGAUAUUAUAAGGGUGAUAGUGGCCAAGAAUCAGAAGUAGAGUUGGAUCCAGUGGCUUGCCGAGCUGGGGGAUAGAGGCAUUGAAUGCUGGAGUAGGGAGAUAUGGGGGGGAUGGGAAGCCUCAGAGCACCUGAACCCAGCCACUUGCACGCAUACACUCCCUAUGUUUCUUUUUGAAGAUGCUGUCAUGUCCUGGCCGGAGAGAAUUACCCUGAAAGAGGACAGAUCUACAAUUAUGCUCAAUCCUUGGGUGGGUGCAUUUCAGAGUCAAAUCACACGGGAGAAAGCGUUCUGUGGUAGUUUUAACACGACUGCAUUUCCAUGUGGUCUCGCCUUGAACCUGGGUGGGCCUUCGUGAUGCUCUGUGACUUCUGAGGCUUGGUGAGCUGAGCCCACACAGCUGUGCCUGUUUCUCUUGGGACAUUUGCUCUAGGGACCUCCAGCUGUCCUGUAAGAAGUCCAGCUAUGCUGGGGCUGCUGGGUGACAGGAAUACAUAGAUGAAUGGGUGAGAGGCCUCACCAGUGGCAGCUUCCAGAAGUUUGAGUCUUUCAAGCCCAGGAGCCAGACAUAUGAAUGAGGAAACCUCAAAGGCUUCUUGAAGAUGUCUCUCCGUUGCUACCGUCUGACUGUAACCACAUGAGAGACCUUGGUGAGAACUGUCCGGCUAAGCUCAGUCAAGCCACAGAAUGAGGAGAGCUGUCACCCUUGGGUGACAAGAGGCUCUGCCGCUUGGAAAUCUAUAAACAGAAUGAUGGUUCUGCAUGGCAGCCAUUUAAAUAGUUGAACCCAGCAACUGUAUCUCCCUUUCCCUCCCUGGAGGCCAACAUCUCCGGUUUCUACAAAUGUGUCCAUGUGGCAUGGUGCUCAAGACCUCCUUGUCCCUCUCUGGGUUCCUAGAACUGAACAGGUACUACAAGAGGUGUGAACUUCAUCAAGCGCAGAGGGACAUUCACCUCUUGUGGCCAGAUCAGUGGAUUGCAAUAUGGCGGCCAUCAGAAUCAGCCCUGGGGGCCAACCUGGGGCUUCUGGGGUAACCGGUCUUGGGAGCAGGCACCUCCCAUGAUCCCAACGUGCAGCUUUAUCAGCCCAGCUCGUGGAUGGCUCCUCUGAGUUUACUGUUGAUGAAAUCGCCCUGGCCAGUACUUGAAGUGUAAGCUGCAGUUGUUGUGUCUUUAUUUUGUAAUUUUGCAAUUGAUUGAUUGGACUAUAGGAGGUUUUUUUGGGGUGUCUUCUCAGAACAACUGUCCCUCCUCACUGCCUGAUAUGGUAGUGGAUUUGACCACGCUGGGGGCCCAUGGGUGAGCUGGUCAGAGGCCCAAGAUGCAUGUGGCAGUGCUGAGAAGGACAAGUGAAGUCACUCCAACCCCUUCUCUUAGGAUUUGUAACAGGGUGUCUGGUGGUGGGUCUUGGAGCUGGGAGUUCACAUAGAUGCUGGUAGCCAUUUGAGGCCUUGUGCAAAAUGGAUAAACAGAAAAAUCCACAGGGUUGGCCAUUUUAGUGGUCAGUAUGGUGGCAAAAGUAAUAUGCAUGUGUAAUAUUGUGUGACAUAAUGAAAAAUCAUUGUUUCAAAUGUAUUCGCUGACAUUUGUCAUUAAUAGCUGCACUUGGAAAUUUUUUCAUGUCCUUUACAGUGGUUUCAAAAAAGUUCUUUUUAAACUGGUAUCUAUGGCCUUGGGAUUUAUGUAUCCACUCUUAUUAAUCUGUGCAUCACAUAAGUGCAAUGAUAUGACAGCUUACUGAAUUAGGGAUCUCAAAAUGUUGACCUCAAAGACAGGCGCUGUUAAAU